GGAUGUGAGUGCCCAGUGGGCCACUUUUGGUAAGCAGAACUGGCGCUGUGGGAUGAACCAAACGCCGGGUUAAGGCGCCCGAUGCGAGACGCUCAUGAGACCCCAUGAAAGGUGUUGGUUGCUCUAGACAACAGGACGGUGGCCAUGGAAGUCGGAAACCGCUAAGGAGUGUGUAACAACUCACCUGCCGAAGCAACUAGCCCUGAAAAUGGAUGGCGCUCCAGCGUCGAGCCCAUACCCGGCCGCCGUCGCAGAUGGCGGCUUCCGCCGCCGAAGGCGACGGUGAGUAGGAGGGUCGCUGCGGGGAGCGUGGAAGGUGCCGGGCGCGAGCCCGCCUGGAGCCCCCGCAGGCGCAGAUCUUGGUGGUAGUAGCAAAUACUCAAGUGAGAACCUUGAGGACUGAAGACGGAGAAGGGUUCCAUGUGAACAGCAGUUGAACAUGGGUCAGUCGGACCUAAGGGAUCGGACAAUUCCGUUCCGAAGCGGGGACAUUACAGUAAUGGUGGCAGUCCCCCGCGCCCGACCGAAAGGGAACGGGGUUAAUAUUCCCCGACCCGGACACGGAGAUCGGCCCUCCGGGGCCAAGUGCGGCAACGCAACCGAACUCGGCGACGGUGACGGAGGACCCGGGGAAGAGUUUUCUUUUCUUCGUAAGAGCCCGUGUCCCUGGAAUCGGCUCGUCCGGAGAUAGGGACGCUGGGUUCGUAAGAGCACCGCGGCUCUUGCGGUGUCCGGUCCGCCUCUGUCGACCCUUGCAAAACCGAGGGAGAGAGUGUGAUUUUCGUGCCGGACCGUACCCAUAUCCGCAGCAGGUCUCCAAGGUGAACAGCC
rnacentral:rRNA from 1 species